rnacentral:rRNA from 1 species
UGGUCUAGGUAUAAGCAAUUAUACCGUGAAACUGCGAAUGGCUCAUUAAAUCAGUUAUCGUUUAUUUGAUAGUACCUUACUACUUGGAUAACCGUGGUAAUUCUAGAGCUAAUACAUGCUAAAAACCCCAACUUCGGGAGGGGUGUAUUUAUUAGAUAAAAAACCAAUGCCCUUCGGGGCUCCUUGGUGAUUCAUAAUAACUUAACGGAUCGCAUGGCCUUGCGCCGGCGACGGUUCAUUCAAAUUUCUGCCCUAUCAACUUUCGAUGGUAAGGUAUUGGCUUACCAUGGUUUCAACGGGUAACGGGGAAUUAGGGUUCGAUUCCGGAGAGGGAGCCUGAGAAACGGCUACCACAUCCAAGGAAGGCAGCAGGCGCGCAAAUUACCCAAUCCCGACACGGGGAGGUAGUGACAAUAAAUACUGAUACAGGGCUCUUUUGGGUCUUGUAAUCGGAAUGAGUACAAUUUAAACCCCUUAACGAGGAACAAUUGGAGGGCAAGUCUGGUGAACUUCAGUUCUAUUCUGCUGACGCCAGGAUAGUCGGGCGCUCUUGCGUAGAGCGUUAUGCCGGCUAGUCGAGCACCCCACGACUCUGAUAGGGUGGGUGCCGGCGAGACAACCUGGAUCGGGGGAGGCUUAAUUGGGUCCGCGCCAAAAACGCGGACUACGCCAAUCCCGAGCAGAGCUUCCUGGGAGCGAUCCCUUGAGGCCUGUGUAGAGCACGCUAAGGUGUCGGGCGGUUCACUGAGCCGCCUUGAGGGACGUGCCAUUCCCAUCCGAAAGGGUGGCCGCCAGCAAUAGCGCCUAUCACGCGAAGGCUGAGUGGGUUUCGGGGUAGCCGUUCGAAAACGGGCGGAUACCCUGGGAGAAAGAAGGCCAGCAGCCGCGGUAAUUCCAGCUCCAAUAGCGUAUAUUAAAUUGCAGUUAAAAAGCUCGUAGUUGAACCUUGGGCCUGGCUGNGCCGGUCCGCCUCACCGCGUGUACUGGUCCGGCCGGGCCUUUCCUUCUGGAGAUCCUCAUGCCCUUCACUGGGUGUGUUGGGGAACCAGGACUUUUACUGUGAACAAAUUAGAGUGUUCAAAGCAGGCCUUUGCUCGAAUACAUUAGCAUGGAAUAAUAGAAUAGGACGUGCGGUCCUAUUUUGUUGGUUUCUAGGACCGCCGUAAUGAUUAAUAGGGAUAGUCGGGGGCAUCAGUAUUCAAUUGUCAGAGGUGAAAUUCUUGGAUUUAUUGAAGACUAACUACUGCGAAAGCAUUUGCCAAGGAUGUUUUCAUUAAUCAGUGAACGAAAGUUAGGGGAUCGAAGACGAUCAGAUACCGUCGUAGUCUUAACCGUAAACUAUGCCGACUAGGGAUCGGGCGAUGUUUCUAUCUUGACUCGCUCGGCACCUUACGAGAAAUCAAAGUUUUUGGGUCUGG